GGAGGCACGCGUGGCGCCAGCUGCUUUGCCACGCGCGUCCGGGAUCCCGGGAUACCCGGGCCUCCCGCGUCCCCGCUGUUCCCCGCCGCCGCGCGCCUGGCCCGCUGUGCCCGGGCCCGCACGCCGGGAGCGCGGACGCUCUAUGAUUCGCCCCGCAGUACGGGAUAAAAGCGGUCGCCUGCUCUAGCGAUUUCGCGCGCUGUUUAAUUAGACAGGAGAAGUUCUAAUGUGGCCUUUUUAUAUUUUUAAUGCAGAGGCCAGUAAUCCGAUAUGGAGCAUGCCAUUACCCCGUUGGAACCCCUGCUUCCCUCUGGAAGAAGGAUGCUUCUCAGUUGGUCCUCUCCACUUCCACAAUUCUCCUGACUCUUCCUGGGAUGUUCAGCCGUUGUUUUCAUGGCCUGUUCUUGGGAAAAAUCAUGUUGUUUUAGAUGGUGGUUGGAUUAGAUGAUGUUAUGUUCACUUUCAGCCCAGCAGCCUGGAGUCCUGGCGUCCCUCUUCAGGGUGCACUGUGUUGUCUCAAGUCACAGGUAGCUGUUGGGGAUUUGGAGGCCUUGACUGUGAGUGAUGAAGAAAUCAGUUUGUUUCUUCUGAUAAAAGGGUCAUGGGGAUGAGAAAUAUGGUAAAGUAUGUUGGAGAGAAUGAACGUUAACAAAGGAAUUCAGACUUGAAUUCAGUCCAGCUUCUGCUCUGAAUAGUAGAAAGUAGCUAACAUGUUGAAGAAAGUAUUCUUAGUGAAAAAAAAAAAAUAGUGGGUUUUUUAUUUAAUGUAAUUGCAAAUAUAGAAGACUACUGGGCAUUUAUCAUUGAGCCUUUGAAUAAGCCUCAUAAAAAACAGUAAGAGAAUAUGAAAGGUGACAUCUUUGAAAUAUACUACUCAAAAAAUGCCAUCACAGUCUGUGAAAUUGAAUGCAGAGAUAGAUCAUUAAAGGAAAAGACUUAAUGGAAGUUGCUUCAUGAUUCAAAAUAAAGUCUUUUAUAAUGUGAAACUUGACAAUAAUAUACAAGCAAAAGUAAGUACAUUUCCUUUGCCAUUACAGGGUUACUAUAGAAGAAUGAGUAUCAUUUGCUAUGAAAAUGUUUUUAUUUGGACCUCCAGUGAUAUUUACAUACAUGGGUGUGGAAUCCAUUUUAAAUUUAGUUACACACUUAACUAAGGCACACAGAAAUGAAACUUAAAUUGCAGGAGGAUAAAUUAUUUUAAUAGAGUGUCAUAACCACAAGAGUAAAUAUAACUUACCAUUUUUCUUUUAUAGUCAGAAUUUUCAUUACUGUAAAAUUUCACUUUAAAAAGAACCUUGCAUAAAUGUAAUUGGUUGUUUUUUAACAAAUCCAAAAGCAUGAACUCACUCUACUUGAUGAGGAAAUAGAAUCUGUGUAGUUAUCCGUUUCUUGAAUUUUAUGAUGAUAAAUUGGAAUGACUGACAUUUAGUGUACACAAACAUUCAUUUUGGAGAUUAGUUUAGAAGUAUUUCCUUUAUGUUAAGUUAAAAUGGAAUAAUCUUAUUCUCUUUUUUUUUGAAUUUUGAAAUAAUCUUAUUCCUGAAAAAUGAACUUUUAAGUCUUUUUUCCCCCAAAAUUUUUAUUAGAGAGAAUUGAGGUUUUAUGUUGCAUUAAGUUAUGUUACAAUUUGCAUAAUGCUGAUUGGUACAGGUUGGAGAUAAAAUGUAAAUUGGGUUUUGCAACUGAAGGAAAGCAGAAUACAUGACCUCAAAAUGUGGCCCAUUGGCAUGUAGAUUAUUUUGAGCUGAAGGCAAUCAAGACCCAGGAGACUGAAGAAAAAACUUUACCUUUCCCUUAACUAGGUAAAAGAAUUCAAAUGGGGGUUCUGGCUCAGAGAGCGAGAGCACUAUUACCAGAAAUAACUGUAUCUGAAUAACCUAUCUGUAUAGCAAGGCAAACACCUAAUUACCAAACAUCUGUUCUUCUUGUCAUAUGAAUUGCCCUCCUCCCCUUUGAAGAAGCCCCAGACCCCAUCCCAUUCCUUAGCUCAGGAUGGCGGAUAAAAGCCUCAACUUCCCUACUCGCCCUUGGAUCUCAUACUCUUGUGGGAUCCCAUACAGAUGUAAUUAAAAAUUUCUUACAUCAAUUUAAUAAAUACACCAGCCAAAAGAACCAGAAGGAGAAAGGAAGAAUUUUUUCCUUCUCAACACAAUCAAAAAGAUUGAUACAGCUGUGUCUUUUACCCCUUUACUUAGAUACAUAUUAUGACCUGUUAAAAUGUGGAAAAUGAAGAACGUAUUUGUUUAAGAAAGCUUGGAAUUAAGGGAAAUAGCAUUUUCUAAAGCUCCAUAUUGUUAGGGUUUUUUUUUUUUUAUAAUAAAUGUGAUUAUUAAUAGUCAUCCCUUUGUAUCUGUGAGGGAAUGAUUAUAGUACUUUGCAUGGACACCAAAAUCGGCAGAUGCUCUAGACCCUUAAAUAAAAUGGUGGUAAACUGU
rnacentral:lncRNA from 1 species